UACGUAGGGUGCGAGCGUUUGUCCGGAAUUAUUGGGCGUAAAGAGCUUGUAGGCGGUUUGUCGCGUCUGCCGUGAAAUUUCGAGGCUCAACCUCGAACUUGCGGUGGGUACGGGCAGACUAGAGUGUGGUAGGGGAGACUGGAAUUCCUGGUGUAGCGGUGAAAUGCGCAGAUAUCAGGAGGAACACCGAUGGCGAAGGCAGGUCUCUGGGCAUUAACUGACGCUGAGGAGCGAAAGCAUGGGGAGCGAACAGG
rnacentral:rRNA from 1 species